rnacentral:lncRNA from 1 species
GCAGUGAUGAUUGAAUACACAGCUUUAAGCCAGUUCUGCUUCAGAAAAUUCUUGAUUGAUAGAGCUGUUAUUUACUCUGAGCCUCUCAUUAUUAAAAUUUAGUUUUCAUGAUGAAUUUUUCCAACUUUUCGGUUUUUAAUUUGCCAAUGAUGAAUUAAUCCGUAUGUACGAGAUACGGUGGAUCCAAGACCUUGUUUUACAAGGAGAACCACUUGGUUGAAGCUGUAUUACACAUGAAAUUUCUGGAUUUAACUGAGGUUUAAUAGUUUUUUAAUUAUUUUAUUUUAUCAGAUUUUUUUUUAAAUGUCUUUUUUGGAUUUGAAACUACCAAUGAUGAAAUAAUCCAAAUGUUUGAGAUACGGUGGAUACAAGACCCUGUUUAACAGGGAGAACCACUUGUUUGAAGCUGUAUUUCAUAUGAUAUUACUGGAUUUAACUGAGGUUUUGUUUGUAGAUUUAUAUUUUGACUUGAUGAGUUUAAACUAUACUCUUUGCCGUGAAUAUACAAGGGGCUUGGAGUCUGGAAAAACUCAGAGAUGAAUGUGUUGUCUAUCAGCUUCAUCUUUAGUAAUAUUAACGAGAGUGGAGUUAAAUAACAGCACAACAAUC